AUGGUUUUUAAUUCUUGGUGUGCCCAAGGGGCCCACCUUCUGUUUUGUGUCCCCCAUUCCCGUCACUCUUCAUUCUCUCUCAGCCCUCUUCUUUCUCUCCCUUAUCUCUCUCCCUCUCUAUCACCGUGAGCACCCACACACACACACACCCACCACCACAACUACCUAGCUACGCCACCACCAUCACCUAUGGAACUUUCUUCUCUCUCUCCCCCAUCUCGACGAAGCUCUGGGACACCCAGAGAACACCCAAGUCUCCCCCGACGACUCCGGUGACUUUCGAGGUAAUUUUCGGCCAAACCACGGUGAGUUGGCCGUCGUGUAAGGUAUUAAUCUCUUCGUCUCACUGAGAACUACAACUUUCCUUUUUGUUUCACUCAUUUUUGUUGAGUAUUGAAGAAGUUAUACUCAUUUGAAUCUUACCCAGUUUCCGACGACCUCCGAGACUUUCGAGGCAUUUUCCGGCCAAAACACGGCGAGUUAGACAUCGUGUAAGCCCAAUUUUCUCGGCAAACCCGUGCUUUCCAGGCCAUUUUUCAGCGAACUCCGACCACGAUGAUGGGAACCAAGGGGGCAAUUAUAGUGGCGUUUCUGUCUUCGCUAGCUGUGUGACUUUUCGACGGCGAAGUACUGACUUAGGAUCAAGGCACCUAAUCCCAGCGUCAAAGCAUUUCUAUAGCAGCAUCUUCGGAUCCUCUCGAUGUAGGACUUACUCCUUUUUUCAUUUAAUUUUAUCUUAAUUCUUUUUAGUGAUUAGGUAUAGUUGUAUGCUCUG